rnacentral:rRNA from 1 species
CCUACGGGAGGCAGCAGUGGGGAAUAUUGGACAAUGGGGGGAACCCUGAUCCAGCGACGCCGCGUGAGUGAAGAAGUAUUUCGGUAUGUAAAGCUCUAUCAGCAGGGAAGAAAAUGACGGUACCUGACUAAGAAGCCCCGGCUAACUACGUGCCAGCAGCCGCGGUAAUACGUAGGGGGCAAGCGUUAUCCGGAUUUACUGGGUGUUAAGGGAGCGUAGGCGGUGCAGGAAGUCAGAUGUGAAAGGCCGGGGCUCAACCCCGGGACUGCAUUGGAAACUGUUGAACUGGAGUACAGGAGAGGUAGGCGGAAUGCAUAGGGUAGCGGUGAAAUGCGUAGAUAUUAGGAGGAACACCAGUGGCGAAGGCAGCUUACUGGACUGUAACUGACGUUGAGGCUCGAAAGCGUGGGGAGCAAACAGGAUUAGAUACCCCAGUAGUC